rnacentral:lncRNA from 1 species
CAACAUCAGAAGAAAUAGGAAUAAGACAAAGGAGCGGGAGAGAGGAAAAAAAAAAAGCUGAAACAGACAAUAAGGUAAAGAGAAUGAAGAGGCAGAAAGGCAGGGAAUAAGUGAGAGAGAGAGGAGAGAGAGGUGGGGGGGAGUAGGGGAGUAGAGAGGGAGAGAAGCGGGCCAGAUUGCAGAGGGUUGAAUCAAUGCAGCGGCCUGGUCCUUUUUUUCCCCCCUUCUCUUUUUUUCAUUUUUUUCUCUCUCUCUCUCUCUCUCUCUCAAAUGAUUCACAGUGGAAAGAAAGGGCCUUUUCCUUGUCCUCAGUUGAACUCCACAUCAGCUUCCUGUUAGAAAGGCAAGAAGGAAACACCCAGAGCAACAUGCGCGUGCGCACAUGCACACACACACAUAUACACACACAGAGGAAGGCCUUCACUAGUGGAUUCUUCGCUGCCAGAGAAAUUAGGUCAAGCACUUAAAUGCCCUGCACUGAGAUGUGCAGAGAUUUAAAACAUGAAGUGUUUGGUGGGGACAGCAAAGGCAUACCGGAGCAACAAACAUGCACGCAGACAAGUGCUUGUUGAACUCAAAAACACACACUAUCUGCACACUGUACUGACAGUUCGAGGCUUGCCACAUUAUUAAUAGCAAUAUAAAAAAAAUCUGUGACUGAGUCUCAGUGCUGGUACUUUUGAAACACCAAAGCUGUGAAGGGUAGAACAUGAAAAGGUGGCAGAGACAGAUCAGAAAACACGUGUAAUGUUUAAAAAUACGGCUGAGAAAACCCCUCAGAUCCCUACACAAGCUGGAACUACAGCAAGUCUACUCGUGGACAUUCUCAAAAUGCCUGACGGCCCAAUUAGGGAGUGACAAGAGUCUCGGAGCGUCUUGACAAUAAAUCUUAGGACCGAACGGUACGAUAUAACAUGCCACACUGCAGUAUCAGACGUGCAGGGCAACAAAAUCCCCCCCGCCCAUCCCGCCAAUCCCACCGUCUUCCGCCCUCUGACCUGAAAUGCCCUUAAAGACACGACACACCACAUCACAUUCAAAUCCAAUCCACUAUUCAUAGAAAGGCUUGAUUGAGCUCAGCCUGAUCUUGCCGUUUAGGGUUUCAAUCAAUUGCGUGAGAUAUGAGUGAGCUGGAGGGGGAGAAGGAGGGAGGAUGAAGCUGUUCAGAAAGCAAAUGAGAGAAAAUUUGGGCAAAUCCAAGCCUCUUCUCAGCUCUGUACUGGCCACUGCCAGAAUGGCCCACUGUGAGGCUCUAAGCUGCAGGGUGGCAGGGUAAAUCAGAUGAUAAUCACGCCAAUUUUCACUCUGCAGCCAUGUGCUUUCUCCUGUCCCACUGACUCACAGUGGAAAAAUGAGACCGAGUUCAUUGUCUGAGGGCCACCUGUGUUUCUGCUCCUAAUUCCCAAAGGCACAACAGCGAUUUCCUGCACAAAAACUGUGCAUUUAUAAAAAACCAACAUUAAAUCAUCUUAUGACAAGGCAUUUUUACAACUGAGAGCUGUGACCAAAAGGUCACACUGAUCCCGCUCAUCUUUUGGCCUCUGACAGAACUGUUCUGUUUUCCACUGAAAGAGUGAGACAAAGAGGGGGAGGAGAGACACCUUGUUUCUGUCAGUGGACACACAGCUUUUCUUGAGAAUCUCUGCCGCUUUGCACUUUCAACUAACACUCCAGUAUGAGCAAAAUCUUACCUGUCCGGUCAGCCAGCCUGCAGACAAAGCCUGCACAAACACACAUGCACAUACGCAUGCCGAGACAAAAACAUGCUCAGGUGUGCACAAUGCCACAGAUGGUAUGAAGGGCAAACUAUCUAUUAAGAUUGACUUGAUUGUAAAUCGCAGAUAUGUGCGACGAUACUUUGGGUAAUAGGUUAACUUUGGCAUGAAGAUAUAUAUGCCGCAUGACAACCAAACUAAAACCUGACUGCCUGCAACACACAAACAAGCGGCGUGUUAAAAUAUGCUGUAAAGCAGGACACUCCGGAUUCAAAUCCUGCUUUUUUAUGCAUGCAGUGUAAAAAAAACCCAGUUUGAUUCAUUUGCAAAUCAAUAUUGUGUAGAUGAUCUUAAAUGCUUUGAUGCUAUUUUUGCUGUAGUUGCUGAGAAAAAAAGGUAUUUUUUUAGGAAAAUGUGCAGUCUUAUUAAUAAUUAAUCUACAGCCAUGGGGAGAUAAGGUUUGGGAUAUAAAAUGAACUCUAUUUGAACCUAAAAACUACUCAUUUGUUUGGUACACUUGCCGACAAAUCUUAACAUCCCUCUUGAUUACUAUGCAGCUACUGUUAUGAGUGUCUGAGCACACUUUUAUAUGUAUCACCAAACAAAUAUGAUUGCUCGCAACCCAAUUUCAUCUCUCAAAGGAAUUUCAAUUAAAUUUUACACACCUUAUGCUUUUAACUAAGCUUGCUGCACACCUGAGAGACAGACUGGAAGCCUAUACAGGCCUGUUAACCAUUUAAAAUACAUCCAGCUACUGCAGAAAUAGCUCCUCUCACAUUUCACUGAAUUAAUUUCAUCAAAAACUUCACUGGGGGAAACCACAGUGACACAUCAGGGAAACCGCACAGCUCUGCCAUAUGUUUUAAUGUCUGACAUACACUGAUUAUCUCUGGCUGACAGCUCCAGAGAUGCUGCGUUUCUAAUUAAAAGCAUAUUUUCCUGAAAUCCUAUGAAUUGCUCAUUUAGAAGAGUGGAGAUGUUUCCGCUGGACUGACGGGAUCUGCCCGGCUGCCUAUCUAUGUUUUGCACCGGGGGACAACAAAGGGGAAGAUUAUGCCUCUCUGCGAAGGGAAAGUAGGGCACGAAAAGGCGACCUCUUUUUCGUCUAUUGCUAUCCAGAAUUUACUGUCUGGCGACCAUUUCAUCUUCACGUAAAAAACUAGAGGCUGCUUUAGUCUUUAUUUUGCAUUUAUGUCGAUUAUUUUAAGCUGUGUCGUUGAUAUGAAGCUCUUUCUUGAAACUUCCCCGAGGACAGCGGACCGGUUUAGAUGGAACAGUGUCAAUAUUCACCAGAGGAGAUAUACAGUUUCAUUAUUUAACACAAGUCUAGCUUCACUCGACAAAACGACCACUGCUUUGUUAUUUUUUAGCACUUUCCGCUCAGAUAAACCUCUCACAAACAGGCCUUUCAGCGAGGACAGAAUAAAAGACUGCGCACUAACCUGUCUCAAGUUCAACUUGGGUCUCUCUCUUCCUCCGUGUGUCCAACAACCGUGUCUGCCGGCUUUACAUCUGUCACUCGGUGGCUUGUCCUCCACAGUAUGUCUGGUGUCCACAAAAAGCAUCAAGUAGCGAACACGAAGCGACAUUAUUUGAAGGAUGAGAGGUACAAAAAAGAAAAGAAAAAAAAAAGUCGUCACGUUGAAUGUGCAGGAAGAGCUGUCUCCUUAAGCAACCGCGGAUGAGUUGUGCUCUCUCUCCCCCCCUCCUCCGCGUUUCACUCCGCCGCCAUCCAGCUCGGUUCAGCGGGGACACAGAGCUGCUGACUGCGCCGCGCGUCCUGCGCCGCCGAUGAACCAGAUGCGUCAAGUUCAGCUGAGGUGAAGCCCCGUUGUACAAGCAGCCUCGGUGUGCAGCAGCUCGCACUAUUGCUCUGAUUAUUUAAUGUCUCCUGAAGGGGAAAAAAAAGGGGGAAAGACACAUCACAUUGAAAUAUCUGCAAAAACAGCCUGUGUUGAGAUGAUUAUUAAGGGCUGCCUCACACACCCCCUCCCCCCUUCUGCCCCCUCCGCGGGUGUAAAAUGCACUAUUUGCUGUGCUGAACUUACAUGAUGUCAGCCUUAUAAAAAAAACAUUUUCAUUCUGUCACUCACUUUACCCAAGGCUGUGAAAAACCCUAAAUUAUCAGAGCUUAAUCAGACACAGGACUGUCAUGGAAUAACACACAUCUAUUUCCAAAGAAUAACAAUGGUGCCUUCAGUAUUGACACUUUAUUACCACAAUUUUCAACCUUGCAGGAAGACUUAAAGGUAGCUUUUGAUUUUUUUUUUUUAAAGAAAUACACCUCCUUUGUGUAUGCUCACCCCCCUCCAUCAUGUUUACAAGGUAGUCACAUGGUGUAGCCAAAAACUCUAAGCAGUAGGCCUAUGAAUAUUAAGUCAACAUCAGUGAUUGUCAAAUUAAAGAAAAUAAGAAAUUAAAAUUAACAAUCAGUACCUGAAGAGUGGUGUUCCAUGCUCCAGCAGUGUUAAAGUAAAAGAAAUAAUAAACUCUACUUUAAGCUUGUACAUCUUAGUGUUUAUUUGAGCUUUACAGGUUACUUUCUGCUGAUGCUGACAAAUAAACAAAGCCAACUUAAAAAAAAAAAAAAGCUGCAUUACUCACACCUGUUUGCUCGUGUUAAUUAGACAACUCAGGUUUGUCCUCCACCCCAGGUAAAUGAAGGUCCACUUCCACAGUUUGACACCACAGGUGACAUGAAGACAAGCCCAGACUUGUUGAGUUUCCCGACAUGCCUCACAGACACUUUAUUGAUAAAUCAGCCAUGAAAGACAGACAGAAGGAGCUGUUAAAGGGCCAGUCAGAAACUCUGUCCGAAACCUGUUUAAAAUAUGAUAGUAUGGGAUCCUUUAGAGCUGUGGUUCUGUUUUUAUAGCAUAUACUUCAAGAAGAUAUGACUAAAACAAUAAUAAAUGCUUUUUAUUUGUAAUGUUUCUCAGUAUUUUAUUUGAUUUACAACAGAGGAGAAAAAUGGAUGAUUUGAAGUGUUCAUGGUCAUGAGCAAGGGUACAAAAUAAGGAGAUACGAGCAUUUUAUUUUAGAUCUGCAUGCUCCUGUUUUUCUUAAUAUCCAUCCAGCCAAAAAAAUCCCUUCGAAAAUCAUUAAGAUAGAUAGAUAGAUAGAUAGAUAGAUAGAUAGAUAGAUAGAUAGAUGGUCUUACUUUUAUUAAGAAAAAGUCAGAGAUUUAAGAAAUGUUUGGUAAAGUUAAGAAAAAAAAAACAGUAAUCAGUUUUUACUUUUGUUUCAGCCCUUUCAGUGAGAAGAAUUAUUUUAUUAGGUAUGGAUGAAAAAUAUGAACCUCUUUCAUGUGAUUUUAAUAAGAAAUAAGUCGUAGGAUAAUUCAAUAACUUAAAAAAUACAAAACAAGGAUUCUUUAUCAAUUAUUGUACUCAAAUUUGUUCAGAAACUUUUUUUUCUCUUUUGAUAAAACUGACUUUCAGCACAAACUAAAAUUCACUUUCUAUGACAAAUUGUAAAUGUAAAAAUGGGAAUACUUUAUCAAAAUGCUCAAAAUGAAAGAAGGUAGUGAAAAUACAAAACUUUGCUGUUUACUGGAACUAGGAUCCGUGAAUGCCCGUAUUUAGGUUUGUCCGUAUGAUUUUUUUUUUUCCACUCCAUAGACAUUUGCUGAAGCACCAGUCCUACUGUGAACCUGCACACAUACACACUCACACACAUACACACAGCUGGCAUAUUGAGUGUUAAUGAAUGCGUAUUGACAGAUUAUAUUACAGUUGCACUCGGUGACCGGGCUCUGUUUACUGUGCUCCUAUAUCCUUAUGCAAUGAAAGACAUAGGAUUAGUGUGUGUGUGUGUCAGAGUGUGUGUGUCAGAGUGUGUGUGUGUGUUCACAGCUUGGAUAAGCAUGUGAGCUAUAGCUUACAGGAUUAUGAGGUGACAUAAGUUCAUAUUGAUUGAGAUUCACCUGAUGCUGCUUCAGACAAACAAACUCUACACACAGAUUUUUCAAUAAACACUCUCAGAGUAAAAAUGAAAAGAGUGUUGUAGCUGCUAAAAACUGAGUGAUGCUCCGGUCACCAAUGCAGUUGUAUUCAUUCAAACCGAGUGUACAGUGACAUUAAUUUCAGACUUUUAAAAUAUAUUUUUUUAGAGAAGUGUGAAUAAAAUCUAAUGAUUGUAAUUAAUUAUUUAUUUAUGAAUUAGUUAAUUUAGUGCUUUAUAAAUUAUUCAUAUAUUCUUGUAUACUUUAAAAAGACUGUGUGGUGUGUGAUACAUGACUUCAAGCAAUUUUUUUUCAACUGGGGGAUAUUUUUAAAAUAUAAACCUAUUCUCAAAGAUUCUGAUAGUCCCAUAAUAUUAUAGGUUAUCUGUUAUAUAUUAUAAUGAAUAUGGUUGGGUCUCGAUUUAACAUUUGCAAAUUUGGUAAGCCUAGAAAUCGAAUCAUGUUUGUUUAAAUAACUUAAAUUUCAAAACUGUGUUAACCAGGUAAUUUGUUGUUCAAACUGUACUUUAAGUUUGACCACUUUUCUGAUUUUAGACUUUUUUCUGCAUUUUCUGUAUUUAUUGUUUUCUGUUUUAAUUUAUUUCUUUUGUUUUCAUUUUUUUUCUUUUGCCAAAGCUGAAAAUAAGACUUUAACUGAAUUUUGACAGCUUUUCCUCCUACCUCCUACUUUGGGGAAGAAAUAGUUUUGCCAAGUCCAAGUUUUAGUGGUGGGGAAAACAAACUGAGUGUUGAACUUCACCGAAAAUAUGCCCAAAUGAUAAAGAAUAACUGUAAACAAGAUUAUAAUAUCAAAUUGAUGUUAACGUCUUACUAAUACACAUACUGCAGAUUUAAAAAUGAGCACUUAUCAUCUAUAUCAUCCCACCAAGAUAGAGUUUAGUGUUUAAUACUUUUCAAUCUUUUAUUUUACACAACUUACAAUCUAACCCAUCACUUAAGAAGUUUUAAGAGGAUAAGCACGGACAUUUUAUUUACAUUCUUUGACAUGAUUUAUUUUUAUUCAUAAUUAAGCAUUUUCAUCACGAUUCGAUGUAUGUCUUAGGAGGAGAUGCAAGAAGAAGAUGGGAGAGGAGGGAGAGAGAAAACAAGGGAUAACCUAAAUCCUGCAGAGGUGACAUUGGGGCUCACUUUGGGCUGAUUUGCAAUCAGACACUCUUACUCAGCUCCUUCCUUGUCUCUAGACAGAGUGGAUAGCAGCUCAGACAAAGCUAGUAUUUUUGCCCAUCCAAGGCCCCUUGGAGUUUUAUUCUAGGCCACCGCUCUCAGACACAGACCAUUCUGCGUAGAGCACCCAAAGACAACAGCUCGGAACAGGAGAGGAGGAACGUGCAAGUUCGAAAGAGGAAGAAGAAGGCGAGGGGAGGUGUGGUGUGGAAAAAUGGGCGGAGGCUUCAUCAAGGGCCAAACUGCUGCCUCUUCCCCACCGCCUUCACCUCCUACCCUCCUUUUUGGAUGUUACCCUGGCCCUGUUCCCCUUCGACUUGCUGCAGUGCAGUGCCACGCCCCACCUCGCCCAAUGGAAAGACUCGAGAUCUGAUCGAUCACUGGCGAGCCGGUCAUGACCUUAACCCUGUCCCCUCUCUUACAGUGCCAAAUAAAACUAUAGGACACUCGGGACAUCACACGAAAAAAAGCACAUUGAGGCCUUACUCUUUUUAAUUUGUUUACAGAGACUCAACGAGGGACCACCAUGAGCAAGCUCUUGGCAACAGCGACAGAGAAAUAUGCCCUUUUUACAGACAGAGACCUCAAGCAGAACCAGACUCAACGAUGAUCAGCCAGUCACUGGAGCUGGACAAGACCUGAAACUGGGCAAAAGGAAGAGGCAGAAAGAUGUCAAAGUAUUUAUUCAAGUAAGAAUGAUAACAAUCAGAGCAAAUUCAUGAAAGCUUUCUGCAAAUGCACACGCUCCAAAUGUCGAUUGUACUUUAAGUUAUAAUGUGCUGAGCAGUAUCUGAUCUUGAUAUGAUUAAGCCAUCCAUAGUUUCUUUAAAAAUGUCAGGAGGAAUUAGAACCACAUAGAGCCAGUCUGUUGCACAGACAGGGUCCUAAGUCCCCUCUCUUACAGAAGUAAAUAAUUUAAAAAACAAAAGCCCAUGGCUG